rnacentral:rRNA from 1 species
AGGACGAACGCUGGCGGCGUGCUUAACACAUGCAAGUCGAACGAGGUGCUUGCACCUAGUGGCGAACGGGUGAGUAACACGUGAGCAACCUGCCCUUGGCUCUGGGAUAGCCUCCGGAAAACGGGGAUUAAUACCGGACAUGACCUGCUCCUGCAUGGGGGCGGGUGGAAAGUUUUUCGGCCAGGGAGGGGCUCGCGGCCUAUCAGCUUGUUGGGGGGGUAACGGCCCACCAAGGCGACGACGGGUAG